UGGGGAAUUUUGGACAAUGGGCGAAAGCCUGAUCCAGCAAUGCCGCGUGUGUGAAGAAGGCCUUCGGGUUGUAAAGCACUUUUGUCCGGAAAGAAAUCCUUGGCUCUAAUACAGUCGGGGGAUGACGGUACCGGAAGAAUAAGCACCGGCUAACUACGUGCCAGCAGCCGCGGUAAUACGUAGGGUGCAAGCGUUAAUCGGAAUUACUGGGCGUAAAGCGUGCGCAGGCGGUUUGCUAAGACCGAUGUGAAAUCCCCGGGCUCAACCUGGGAACUGCAUUGGUGACUGGCAGGCUAGAGUAUGGCAGAGGGGGGUAGAAUUCCACGUGUAGCAGUGAAAUGCGUAGAGAUGUGGAGGAAUACCGAUGGCGAAGGCAGCCCCCUGGGCCAAUACUGACGCUCAUGCACGAAAGCGUGGGGAGCAAACAGGAUUAGAUACCCUGGUAGUCCACGCCCUAAAACGAUGUCAACUAGUUGUUGGGGAUUCAUUUCCUUAGUAACGUAGCUAACGCGUGAAGUUGACCGCCUGGGGAGUACGGUCGCAAGAUUAAAACUUAAAGGAAUUGACGGGGUCAAGCUGUUUCCU
rnacentral:rRNA from 1 species